rnacentral:rRNA from 1 species
AGCGAACGCUGGCGGCAGGCUUAACACAUGCAAGUCGAGCGGGCGUAGCAAUACGUCAGCGGCAGACGGGUGAGUAACGCGUGGGAACAUACCUUUUGGUUCGGAACAACACAGGGAAACUUGUGCUAAUACCGGAUAAGCCCUUACGGGGAAAGAUUUAUCGCCGAAAGAUUGGCCCGCGUCUGAUUAGCUAGUUGGUGAGGUAACGGCUCACCAAGGCGACGAUCAGUAGCUGGUCUGAGAGGAUGAUCAGCCACAUUGGGACUGAGACACGGCCCAAACUCCUACGGGAGGCAGCAGUGGGGAAUAUUGGACAAUGGGCGCAAGCCUGAUCCAGCCAUGCCGCGUGAGUGAUGAAGGCCCUAGGGUUGUAAAGCUCUUUUGUGCGGGAAGAUAAUGKCGGUACCGCAA